UGGGGAAUAUUGCACAAUGGGCGCAAGCCCGAUGCAGCCAUGCCGCGUGUAUGAAGAAGGCCUUCGGGUUGUAAAGUACUUUCAGCGGGGAGGAAGGGAGUAAAGUUAAUACCUUUGCUCAUUGACGUUACCCGCAGAAGAAGCACCGGCUAACUCUGUGCCAGCAGCUGCGGUAAUACGGAGGGUGCAAGCGUUAAUCGGAAUUACUUGGCGUAAAGCGGACGCAGGCGGUUUGUUAAGUCAGAUGUGAAUUCCCCGGGCUCAACAUGGGAACUGCAUCUGAUACUAGUGAGCUUGAGUCUGGUAGGGGAGGGUAGAAUUCCUGGUGUAGAGGUGAAAUACGUAGAAAUCUGGAGGAAGACCGGUGGCGAAGACGGCCCCCUGGACGAAGACUGACGCUCAGGUGGGAAAGCAGGGGGAGCAAACAGG
rnacentral:rRNA from 1 species